rnacentral:snRNA from 1 species
GUGCUCACUUCUCCAGCCCAUACACUAAAAUUAGAAUGAUACAGAGAAGAUUAGCAUGGCUCCUGUGCAAGGAUAACAAAAAAUAAUUUAAAAAUAAUAAAAUAAACU